CGCCCCUUAGCUCAGUCUGGUAGAGCAACGCCCGAUUCAAUCGGAAGAGGUCGCUGGUUCAAAUCCGGCAGGGGCGC
rnacentral:tRNA from 1 species